rnacentral:piRNA from 1 species
UCCGUUUGAAUUAUGGCCAGU